UACGAAGGGUGCAAGCGUUGUUCGGAAUUACUGGGCGUAAAGGGUUCGUAGGCGGGAAUGUAAGUUGAAUGUGAAAACCCCGGGCUUAACCUGGGACGUGCAUCCAAAACUGCGUUUCUUGAGUGUCUGAGAGGGUCGUGGAAUUGCUGGUGUAGGAGUGACAUCCGUAGAGAUCAGCAGGAACACCGGAGGCGAAAGCGGCUUCCUGGUCCAGCACCGACGUUCAGGCACGAAAGCGUGGGGAGCAAACAGG
rnacentral:rRNA from 1 species